UACGUAGGGUGCGAGCGUUGUCCGGAAUCAUUGGGCGUAAAGAGCGUGUAGGCGGCCAGAAAAGUCCGCUGUGAAAACUCGAGGCUCAACCUCAAGCUGUCGGUGGAAACCCCUUGGCUAGAGUCCGGAAGAGGAGAGUGGAAUUCCUGGUGUAGCGGUGAAAUGCGCAGAUAUCAGGAAGAACACCAAUGGCGAAGGCAGCUCUCUGGGACGGUACUGACACUGAGACGCGAAAGCGUGGGGAGCGAACAGG
rnacentral:rRNA from 1 species